GAUGAACGCUGGCGGCGUGCCUAAUACAUGCAAGUCGAGCGAACAGACGAGGAGCUUGCUCCUCUGACGUUAGCGGCGGACGGGUGAGUAACACGUGGAUAACCUACCUAUAAGACUGGGAUAACUUCGGGAAACCGGAGCUAAUACCGGAUAAUAUAUUGGACCGCAUGGUUCGAUAGUGAAAGACGGUUUUGCUGUCACUUAUAGAUGGAUCCGCGCCGCAUUAGCUAGUUGGUAAGGUAACGGCUUACCAAGGCAACGAUGCGUAGCCGACCUGAGAGGGUGAUCGGCCACACUGGAACUGAGACACGGUCCAGACUCCUACGGGAGGCAGCAGUAGGGAAUCUUCCGCAAUGGGCGAAAGCCUGACGGAGCAACGCCGCGUGAGUGAUGAAGGUCUUCGGAUCGUAAAACUCUGUUAUUAGGGAAGAACAAAUGUGUAAGUAACUAUGCACGUCUUGACGGUACCUAAUCAGAAAGCCACGGCUAACUACGUG
rnacentral:rRNA from 1 species